rnacentral:rRNA from 1 species
UAGCAAUUUUUUAUUAUUUCUUUAAUUUAUUUUUUGUUUACUGGAAAUAUCUUAUUAUUUAAGUGUUAAUUAAUACUUUUUAUUAUAGUUUAUUGUACUGUAUAGGUAAAUUUUUUAUUAUUAUAAAAGUAGAAUUUUUUUGUACCUUUUGCCUCAGGGUUUAUUAAUUUUAAUUUAUUUAUUUAAAUUUCCCGAAAUUAAUCGAGUUAAAUUUUUAUGAAUUUGUUUGUGGUAAAAUGCUUUUAAAUUUAAAUUUAGUGGUGAUAUUCUAUUCAAGUUUAUAUAUCUGGUUCUUUAAGAUUUGUGUUUAAUACAGGAUAUUAAAGUUUUUUAUACUUUUAUUUAAAUUUAUUUUAAUAUCUAAUUUUUUAGGGGAUAAGCUCUUGAUAAUUUAUAUAAUUUUUAUUUUUAAGAAUAUUAAUAGGCUUAGAAUCAGCCUUUAUUAAUUCGUUAUAGUUAUUAUUCUUAAAUAUUUUAUUUUUUUAUAUUUAUUUUUUAAUUAAAGUUUGGUGAUUAAUAUUAUAUCUUUAGUAAUAAUGAUAAAAUUAGUAGUUUAUAAAAUUAAGUAUUAGUAAUUCGGCAAUUAUAAUUUUCACCUGUUUAACAAAAACAUGUCUUAUAGUAAUUUAUUUUAAGUCUGACCUGCUCGAUGAUAAUUUAAAUGGCCGCAGUAUAUUGACUGUGCAAAGGUAGCAUAAUCAUUUGGUUUUUAAUUGAAAUCUUGUAUGAAUGGUUGGAUGAAAAAUUAACUUUCUUAUAUUUAUCCUUUGAAUUUAAUUUUUGAGUUAAAAAGCUCAAAUAUUUUUAUUAGACGAGAAGACCCUAUAGAAUUUAAUUUUUAUUUUUAAUAUAAUUUUUUUGUUUUUGUAAUUUUGUAUUAAGAUUAAAUGUUUGGCUGGGGAGGCGGAGAAAUUUAUUUAACUUUCUUUUUAUUUUCCAAUAAUUUUUGGUUAUUUGAUCCUUUAUUAUGGAUUUUAAGAAAAAAUUACCUUAGGGAUAACAGCGUAAUUCUUUUGGAGAGUUCUUAUCAAUGGAAGAGUUUGCGACCUCGAUGUUGGAUUAAAAUUAGUUUAAGGUGCAGAAGCUUUAACUUUAGGUCUGUUCGACCUUUAAAUUUUUACAUGAUCUGAGUUCAGACCGGCGUAAGCCAGGUUGGUUUCUAUCUAUAAAUUUAAAUUUAAAAUAUCAGUACGAAAGGACCAUUAUUUUAGCAAUAUUUGUUUAUUUUUA